rnacentral:rRNA from 1 species
GACGAACGCUGGCGGCGUGCUUAACACAUGCAAGUCGAACGAUGAAGCUGGAGCUUGCUCCGGUGAAUUAGUGGCGAACGGGUGAGUAACACGUGAGCAAUCUGCCCUUGACUCUGGGAUAACUGCGGGAAACUGUAGCUAAUACCGGAUAUCGCGCUUUGGGGCAUCCCAGGGCGCUGAAAGAAUUUCGGUCAAGGAUGAGCUCGCGGCCUAUCAGCUAGUUGGUGAGGUAAUGGCUCACCAAGGCGACGACGGGUAGCCGGCCUGAGAGGGUGACCGGCCACACUGGGACUGAGACACGGCCCAGACUCCUACGGGAGGCAGCAGUGGGGAAUAUUGCACAAUGGGCGCAAGCCUGAUGCAGCAACGCCGCGUGAGGGAUGAAGGCCUUCGGGUUGUAAACCUCUUUUAGCAGGGAAGAAGCGAAAGUGACGGUACCUGCAGAAAAAGCACCGGCUAACUACGUGCCAGCCACCGCCGUAA